rnacentral:misc_RNA from 1 species
UUUUACCGACAGGUUCGCUGUGUUUCGCUCAAACGACGGUUGCUAUGUUUUGGUUUUCGCGCUUUUGAAAAUUACGAAAGCCACACAGUGCAUCGGUUUGUGCAUUUGAAUAAAUUUUUGUCUAUUUCCAACAUAGCAUGGGUGACUGGUUCCUGCCUUUAACAUUUUUACGACGUACCGAUAUUUUAUUUCCUAUCAGAAUAGCUGUAUUGCAUGUCGAAUUUCGAUUUUUGGCAUCGUAACCAUGGGGACCCAAAGCCAUCCACCUAGCAAUUUACGAUCAAAAACUAGUUAUUCUCUAUACGUCAGUCUUCGCCAUCAGCUGGACGACUUAGGCUACAAUAACUAUUUGUCAAAUGAUACUGUUCCAUUAGUGGAUAAACUAGUUAAAGAUCUCCUGUGUUACAAACAAUUGUGUACAGCAAACCCAAAUUCUCAACCAAGUGCAAGAAAACAAAGUGAACAGGCUCCGGCAGAAAGUUUGACCACAACAGAAUGUAGCAUUAAGAAUUUUGGCCAACAUUAUCGGCAGUAUUCCCGGGAUGAAAAGAUAACUAAUACAGAAGUAGAAGUACUGAAACAGGAAAAAUCAAAGCUUCAGGAACAAAUAAAUGAACUGAAAUUUGUUCUUGAUCAAAACACAACCAUUAUCCAAAGAUUAAAAAAGGAAAAUGAUACAAAAAGUUUACUACUUUUGCAGCUUCAAAAUGAAACAGCUAAGGGUGAAUCACAGGUUAACCCAUCCAAACCCAGCAUAGAAAAAGAUGGUGAUUUACCAGGGGCCAACCUAUCAAAAAUCCAGGCACUUUACAAGAGGAUACUAGCAGCAUCUGAUAAUCCUGCUAUUAUCGACUGGGUUAAGGCCGCUGAAGUAAAAAUCAGCAACUUGGAGCGUGAAUUGGACAACACCGGCAGAGCACUCGAUGUUAGCCAAAGAACUUGCGAGCAGUUUCAGAAGCAGAUUUUGGAAUAUGAAAACAAACUCAUCCAGCUCGAAAAAGCAGACAGAAACAGAGGAACCAAUACCUUUGCGCAACUGAAAUCUCGAAUGGAACAAAAGGAGCAAGAGAAUAAAGAACUACAGGCUAAACUCUCAGAAGCAGUACGGAACCAACAUGAAGCAAUGAGUAGAGCAAUUAUGCUAGCUGGCGACAGACCAUACAAUCACGAAACGGCUGCAAAAAACGCUAGUGCAGAGAAAAAAAUUAUUAGUCUUGAGUCAGAACGCAACGUGAUGAAACAGAUGUUAACCACCACUCAGAAAGAAAGGGAUGAAUUAAUGAAAGAAGUCCAUCGCUUACAUUCUCAAGAAUCCAUGUUGAUGAAUGAAAUUCGCGCUCUCGUAAGCAGUGAAUCAGCCUCACAGGGACCAAAAUCCAAGCAUGUUCGCUUUCAAACGAAUGACAAAAAUGCUUCAACAACGGAUAGUGGCGUCGAAUCUUCUGCCAGAUCAGCGACUAGUUCAGUUCAGGAGGAGGGGGGAGGACGCGGUCGCGAAAACUGGCUGAAGCGACUGGCAGAGCAGCGCCAGUUGUACUAUGACAACGUUCAUCAGUUAUUGAACUACAUGAAAAAUCGCCAAGGAUUGCCUACCGAACUACCGGGCGGUAAACCUGAUACGCAAAAUUCCCAGGCUUUUGACCCCAGUCGACCAACUGUUUUGCAGCAAAAUCCUCCUCAAACGAGUAAUGCAUCGUACAAUCUACCUCAGCAACAAUCACAGCGGAACAUUGAUCAACCUUUGCAUACGUAUCAACAACCUCCACUCCUCAAUUUUCAACAGCCUGAUCGGCAACAAGUACCGGCAGGGGGCCAGACGACAUAUAAUUGGCCUUCCGGUCAACCUUAUGGACCACAAUCUGAAAAUAUAUUUGUUCCACCAAAUCAAGAAUCACAGUCGAUAUCAAUGUCAACUGGGCAAUCAAAUGCUCCGCAAUCAAACACAGCUGUCGCUCAACAGAAACCCCAGUCACCUGCUCAAAAUCAAAGGAAUUCUGACGAAAUACCACCGCAGCAACAACUAAAUAACUACCAAUGGUAUGCUCAAUCUCAGAGAAAUGCUGGACAAACUAAUCCAACACGCCCGAAUUUUCCUGUUUGUGUUUGUGGGGGCGUACCACAAAACUUUUUGUCACAGUUCCAGGGACAGCCCGGAAUUCCUCAAACAUAUCAGCCCAAUCCAAGUAUGGGUCCAUUUAGUUAUCCACAAUCAUAUCAUGAUCCCAAUGCUGGCAUGCCCAAUUAUCAAAAUUCAUAUCAGUCACACUCCAAUGCUCACCCGCAAGGAUUUGUUCAACAGUCAAACGUUUCCUCCGCUCAGCCUGCUCAAGGGUUGGCUACCCACACGAGUACAAAAUCGUUUGGUAUUAUAACCCCCGACCAGCCUAACCACAGGAUUAGCAGACCUACUACAACAAACGUGCAUGACCGUAAAACUCAAACGGAAUCCGGAGCUUCCGCAUCAGCCUACACACCUACUACUGAAGAAAUAAGUAAACUACCAGAUCAGCUUCAAACGUGGGCGCAAAACGUGAUGGAGGAAAAGAAGUCAUUGAAAGAAAAGAAUUCCGAACUACGACUUGAAUUAGACGAAAUAAAGGAAAAUUCACAGAAAUCGGAUGGCCUAGUGACUGAUGUUACGGAAAAAUUUAAAAAGGCUGAAGAUCUGAUUUUGAAACUUCAGGCCGAUAUAGAAGCUUCCAAUACGAAGAUGCGUUUUAUGGAACAGAGCCUUCAGCUCGAACGCAACAACUUGCAGCAGCUUCGCCUCGAUAUUGACGAAGCCGACGGAAAUUCGUCCUCCCUAACAAAGAAAUUUGUUGAAAAAUCGACUCAGCUGGAUGCGGCGAAACAGCAAUGCCAACACUUAGAACAAACCGUAGGGGCGCUUCAGGAUCAGAUAAAGAGUCUUCAAAAUCAAUUGUUAGCGAUACAGAGCCAGAACGAAAUCCCAAAUCCAGUUGUACAAAAAUUAUUGAACGAAAUAGAAGGUCGCAAUACCCGCGUCCUCCAGCUAGAAAAACAAUUAUCUGCAAAGCAGGACAUUGUAACCCAACGAGAAAAAGAAGUCGAUGCCAUCAAUAAUAAACUCAAAGAAACGGAGCAAGAUCUCAAUGCAGAAAAGGCUAAAGUCUGGCAGCUGCAACAAGACAUGGAAAAUUCUCACGGCAAACUGAAGGUGACGGAGCGUGAAGUGUCACUUGAGAAAAAUAGGCUUCAACAGCUACAGGCGGAAAUAGCAAACGCCGACAUGAAUGCUGCCUCCCUGACGAAGAAAAUGAUGGAGAAAACUGCACAACUUGACGAGGCAAGGCAGCAUUGCAACGGGCUGGAACAGAAAGUACUGAGACUCGAAGAACAAGUAGGAAGUCUUCAGGGUCAGUUACGCAGCUUGCAGGUUAUACGUGCUCAGGGUGAAACCGAACAACGACAGCUUCUGGACGAACUAGAUGCAUGUAAGGCACGGAUUAACCAAUUGGAAAGGCAAUCAUCCACGAAGCAGGAUACAAUUACAAUGCUCCAGAACCAUAUUCAGACUUAUGAAAACAAAAUUCAGAUGCUCGAACGAGAAACCGGUGAGAAAAACAGCCAAGUGGAGUUGAACCGUCGUCAAAAUGAUCGCCUUGUUGACGAAAUUGACAAAGCAAAAAUAGAUAAUUCGUCACUUCGGCAAGAAAACGAGCGAUUAGUUGCUUCACUCGCCCAAAGUCGCGGGGAAUUGGAUCGCGAACGCAAAGGUGCUGAGGAUCUGCGACGAGAGAUUCAGUCGUAUGUCAAUCAUGUACGACAAGUGGAGUCCAUUUUGGCAAAAAAAGGACGAAGAAAAAGAUGCUCUCUUGAAGCAGUUUCAAGCUUUAGCAAACGAGACCAGCAGCUUCGACACAGAAAGAGAAAAUAUGGAACGGUCCAUUCGAAGUCAGAAACAAGAAGUCACCACUUUGCAGGCAGAAUUAUUGACUGUGCGACGGCGGCUUGGAGAACUCGAACAACUGUAUGCACAACAGAAAACAGCUGGGGUUCAAUCAGAAAUGCAAGCCGACGAUUUAUUACGGCGAUUGGGUAUUUUGGAGCGAGAUUUGCGAGAUGAACGAGGAGAUAAGAUACGACUCGAACAGCAGCUUGCUGCCGCACACGAUCUCCAGAAUCGACUGGAAAAGCAAUUAGAAAAACUUCGAAUGGAAGCUGCCCAAGCUGAUUCAACCACUCAUCAGAUGGAAACUGAAACUACCCGGCUGCACGAGGAUUUUCGAGUACUCGACCAACGUCUAUUGAAA